GAUCAUGGCUCAGGAUGAACGCUAGCUACAGGCUUAACACAUGCAAGUCGAGGGGCAGCAUGAACUUAGCUUGCUAAGUUGAUGGCGACCGGCGCACGGGUGAGUAACGCGUAUCCAACCUUCCCCUUAGUAGGGCAUAGCCCGGUGAAAAUCGGAUUAAUACCCUAUGUUUUCCAAUGAGGACAUCUGAGCUGGAAUAAAGAUUCAUCGCUAAGGGAUGGGGAUGCGUCCGAUUAGGUUGUUGGCGGGGUAACGGCCCACCAAGCCUUCGAUCGGUAGGGGUUCUGAGAGGAACGGUCCCCCACACUGGUACUGAGACACGGACCAGACUCCUACGGGAGGCAGCAGUGAGGAAUAUUGGUCAAUGGGCGAGAGCCUGAACCAGCCAAAAGUAGCGUGCAGGACGAUCGGCCCGUACGGGUUAGUAAACUGUCUUUUAUGGCGGGGAAUAAAGUGAGGGACGUGUCCCUUUUUGUAGGUACCGCAUGAAUAAGGACCGGCUAAUUCCGUGCCAGCCGCCGC
rnacentral:rRNA from 1 species